GGGAGGGGAGGUAGGUAGCUAAGUAGCCCUGAUGGGGGCUCUCAGAAAGGCACCCCAGGGCUUGGCGGUCGGCAUGGCUGCCCUCUGCCCGGAACCUGGGAUCUUGGAGGAACCCCUCUUUCCCCUCUAGUUAAGUAACCAAAUGUUUGCUGGACACACACAGCGUGGUCCCUUCAUGUGCCGGGUGUUUGGGGGAGGAGGGAUCAGAGGAGAGGACAGUCUUUGCUUUCUGGAGUUUGCUGCGGAAGCAUUAAUUAGGAGGACGAUAAAAGGCAAUGUCACAUUAAGAGCAUAACUGCUGGUUAGAAAUACGUUAUCGCUCUGGGCUCUAGGCUCCUGAAAGACAUGCCCACGUGUAGGCUGACGAGAUCAAGCUGCCAGCAUUAGAACGAGCCGCCACCUGCAAAAACAGGUUGUGGUUCCGAGUUGGUUUUGUGAAAGGAAUCGUCAGACCAACACCACCUGGGGGACAAAGCUGGAGGACGGCCCGACGUAACUCCCACUUGGAGGCUGAAGCAGCCGCAGAGAAGAGGGUACAAAGAUGGCGCUCUCCGUGGCCGCACCGCGCACCCAGCAUCCAGCCUCGCUCAAGACACUAGCGCUCCUUCAGACACAUGCGCAGUCGCUUCAGUUCUCCUCCAGGGAACGCCAGCCGGGAGGACACACAGCCUCUUACUUCCAGAGCCCUGGUUCCUGCGGUCCACCGCAAGCGGGGUGUCCUCGUAACCACACCCUGGCCUCGCGUCAACCAGACGAGGUUCAGAUGCAGCGGGAGCACCAGCUGCCCACAGAGAUCUCUGGGAGGGCGGGAAACUCCAGCGUGGAUUUGAUGAAGGACAGAGCCUCCAAGUGGCUCCUGGGAUCCGUCAGUGUGAGACCUACAUGGAUGAUGUGCAGAAACUUUGCACGUGGAAAACACCCAACAUUCUUUCUUUCUUCUUGUUAUAUUUUAUUUUGGCUGCCCUGGGUCUUCCUUGCAGCCUGUGGGCUUUCUCUAAUUGGGGUGCGCAUGGGCUUCUCUCGUGGCAUAUGGUCUCUAGAGCAUGCGAGCUCAGUAGUUGGGACACGUGGGCCUUCUCUAGUUGUGGUGCAAGGGCUUAGUGGCCCUGUGGCGUGUGGGAUCUUAGUUCCUCGACCAGGGAUCAAACCUGCGUCCCUUACAGUGAGAGGCAGAGCCUUAACCACUGGGCCACCAGGAAAUUCUCCCAACACUCUACUUUUAUAUCUAUAUGAGAUGAUGGAUGUUCGCUGAACUUAUUGUGGUCAUCAUUCCAGGAUGCAUGUAAGUCAAAUCAUGAAGCUGUCACCUUAAACUUGCAC
ensembl:lncRNA